GGUUAAAGGUACCCGUACCGCAAACCGACACAGGGGGGUGAGGAGAGUAUCCUAAGGCCAGCGAGAGAACUGUUGUUAAGGAACUCGGCAAAAUGACCCCGUAACUUAGGGAUAAGGGGUGCCACCAGCAGGUGGCCGCAGAGAAUAGGCCCAAGCGACUGUUUACCAAAAACAUAGGUUUCUGCUAAGUCGCAAGACGAUGUAUAGGAGCUGACGCCUGCCCGGUGCUGGAAGGUUAAGGGGAUCUGUUAGAG
rnacentral:rRNA from 1 species